rnacentral:ncRNA from 2 species
UAACUUUAUAGUGUAGGAAGCAGAACGCGGGGAAUCCGGUGCGACGCCGGAGCUGUUCCGCAACUGUAUGGGGAGCCCUGCCGCCGCAAUUCUCUCACAAAGAGACGGCAGGGCGAUGAACCGAGCCAGAGUGCCGCUUGCCUUCUUCAUUAUUG